UUAAGCGACUAAGCGUACACGGUGGAUGCCCUGGCAGUCAGAGGCGAUGAAGGACGUGCUAAUCUGCGAAAAGCGUCGGUAAGGUGAUAUGAACCGUUAUAACCGGCGAUGUCCGAAUGGGGAAACCCAGUGCAAUUCGUCACACUAUCGUUAACUGAAUACAUAGGUUAACGAGGCGAACCGGGGGAACUGAAACAUCUAAGUACCCCGAGGAAAAGAAAUCAACCGAGAUUCCCCCAGUAGCGGCGAGCGAACGGGGAGCAGCCCAGAGUCUGAAUCAGCUUGUGUGUUAGUGGAACGGUCUGGAAAGUCCGACGGUACAGGGUGAUAGUCCCGUACACCAAAAUGCACAGGUUGUGAACUCGAAGAGUAGGGCGGGACACGUGGUAUCCUGUCUGAAUAUGGGGGGACCAUCCUCCAAGGCUAAAUACUCCUGACUGACCGAUAGUGAACCAGUACCGUGAGGGAAAGGCGAAAAGAACCCCGGCGAGGGGAGUGAAAAAGAACCUGAAACCGUGUACGUACAAGCAGUGGGAGCACCUUCGGGUGUGACUGCGUACCUUUUGUAUAAUGGGUCAGCGACUUAUAUUCUGUAGCAAGGUUAACCGUAUAGGGGAGCCGCAGGGAAACCGAGUCUUAACUGGGCGUUAAGUUGCAGGGUAUAGACCCGAAACCCGGUGAUCUAGCCAUGGGCAGGUUGAAGGUUGGGUAACACUAACUGGAGGACCGAACCGACUAAUGUUGAAAAAUUAGCGGAUGACUUGUGGCUGGGGGUGAAAGGCCAAUCAAACCGGGAGAUAGCUGGUUCUCCCCGAAAGCUAUUUAGGUAGCGCCUCGUGAACUCAUCUUCGGGGGUAGAGCACUGUUUCGGCUAGGGGGUCAUCCCGACUUACCAACCCGAUGCAAACUACGAAUACCGAAGAAUGUUAUCACGGGAGACACACGGCGGGUGCUAACGUCCGUCGUGAAGAGGGAAACAACCCAGACCGCCAGCUAAGGUCCCAAAGUCAUGGUUAAGUGGGAAACGAUGUGGGAAGGCACAGACAGCCAGGAUGUUGGCUUAGAAGCAGCCAUCAUUUAAAGAAAGCGUAAUAGCUCACUGGUCGAGUCGGCCUGCGCGGAAGAUGUAACGGGGCUAAACCAUGCACCGAAGCUGCGGCAGCGACACUAUGUGUUGUUGGGUAGGGGAGCGUUCUGUAAGCCUGCGAAGGUGACCUGUGAGGCAUGCUGGAGGUAUCAGAAGUGCGAAUGCUGACAUAAGUAACGAUAAAGCGGGUGAAAAGCCCGCUCGCCGGAAGACCAAGGGUUCCUGUCCAACGUUAAUCGGGGCAGGGUGAGUCGACCCCUAAGGCGAGGCCGAAAGGCGUAGUCGAUGGGAAACAGGUUAAUAUUCCUGUACUUGGUGUUACUGCGAAGGGGGGACGGAGAAGGCUAUGUUAGCCGGGCGACGGUUGUCCCGGUUUAAGCAUGUAGGCUGAUUAUCCAGGCAAAUCCGGAUAAUCAAGGCUGAGGUGUGAUGACGAGGCACUACGGUGCUGAAGUAACAAAUGCCCUGCUUCCAGGAAAAGCCUCUAAGCAUCAGGUAACAUUAAAUCGUACCCCAAACCGACACAGGUGGUCAGGUAGAGAAUACCAAGGCGCUUGAGAGAACUCGGGUGAAGGAACUAGGCAAAAUGGUGCCGUAACUUCGGGAGAAGGCACGCUGGUGUGUAGGUGAAGCCCCUGCGGGUGGAGCUGAGACCAGUCGAAGAUACCAGCUGGCUGCAACUGUUUAUUAAAAACACAGCACUGUGCAAACACGAAAGUGGACGUAUACGGUGUGACGCCUGCCCGGUGCCGGAAGGUUAAUUGAUGGGGUUAUCCGUAAGGAGAAGCUCUUGAUCGAAGCCCCGGUAAACGGCGGCCGUAACUAUAACGGUCCUAAGGUAGCGAAAUUCCUUGUCGGGUAAGUUCCGACCUGCACGAAUGGCGUAAUGAUGGCCAGGCUGUCUCCACCCGAGACUCAGUGAAAUUGAACUCGCUGUGAAGAUGCAGUGUACCCGCGGCAAGACGGAAAGACCCCGUGAACCUUUACUAUAGCUUGACACUGAACAUUGAGCCUUGAUGUGUAGGAUAGGUGGGAGGCUUUGAAGCGUGGACGCCAGUCUGCGUGGAGCCAACCUUGAAAUACCACCCUUUAAUGUUUGAUGUUCUAACGUUGGCCCCU
rnacentral:rRNA from 1 species